UUCAACAAGGACAAAUGCAAAGUACUCCUCUUAUGAGGGAACAAUCAAUUGCAUCCAUACAAAAAAGGGAAAUGACUGCCUAGGAAGGAGUACUGCAAAAAGGGAUCUGGGUAUUAUAGCAGAUCAGAAG